rnacentral:rRNA from 1 species
AGAGUUUGAUCCUGGCUCAGAACGAACGCUGGCGGCGUGCUUAACACAUGCAAGUCGCACGAGAAAGUUCUUCGGAAUGAGUAAAGUGGCGCACGGGUGAGUAAUACAUAGGAACAUGCCUUCAGGAGGGGGAUAACUACUGGAAACGGUAGCUAAUACCGCAUGAUCUCGUAAGAGCAAAGGUGGCCUCUAUUUAUAAGCCACCACCUGAAGAUUGGCCUAUGUCCCAUUAGCUAGUUGGCAGGGUAAUGGCCUACCAAGGCUACGAUGGGUAGCUGGUCUGAGAGGACGAUCAGCCACACUGGAACUGAGACACGGUCCAGACUCCUACGGGAGGCAGCAGUGGGGAAUCUUGCGCAAUGGGCGAAAGCCUGACGCAGCAACGCCGCGUGAGUGAAGAAGGCCUUUGGGUUGUAAAGCUCUUUCGACUGGGAAGAAGGGAUCCACCGUGAAUAACAUUGGAUUUUGACGGUACCAGGAGAAGAAGCCCCGGCUAACUUCGUGCCAGCAGCCGCGGUAAUACGAAGGGGGCGAGCGUUGUUCGGAAUCAUUGGGCGUAAAGGGCGCGUAGGCGGACUUAUAAGUCGAUUGUGAAAUCCCUGGGCUUAACCCGGGAAUUGCAGUCGAAACUGCAAGUCUUGAGUUCUCGAGAGGAUGGUGGAAUUCCUGGAGUAGUAGUGAAAUACGUAGAUAUCAGGAGGAACACCGGAGGCGAAGGCGGCCAUCUGGCGAGACACUGACGCUAAGGCGCGAAAGCGUGGGUAGCAAACAGGAUUAGAUACCCUGGUAGUCCACGCCUUAAACGAUGAAUACUAGAUGUUCGGAGAGUUAACCCUCUGAGUAUCGAAGCUAACGCAUUAAGUAUUCCGCCUGGGAAGUACGGCCGCAAGGUUGAAACUCAAAGGAAUUGACGGGGGCCCGCACAAGCGGUGGAGUAUGUGGUUUAAUUCGAAGCAACGCGCAGAACCUUACCUGGUCUUGACAUCCCUUGAUCGCUGCAGAGAUGUAGUUUCCUCUUCGGAGGCAAGGAGACAGGUGCUGCAUGGCUGUCGUCAGCUCGUGUCGUAGGAUGUUGGGUUAAGUCCCGCAACGAGCGCAACCCCUGCUUCUAGUUGCGACCAUUAAGUUGAGCACUCUAGAGGGACUGCCGGUGUUAAACCGGAGGAAGGCGGGGACGACGUCAAGUCCUCAUGGCCCUUACGACCAGGGCUACACACGUACUACAAUGGUGGAAACAAAGCGCCGCAAAACCGCGAGGUGGAGCGAAUCGCAAAAACACCAUCACAGUCCGGAUUGGAGACUGCAACUCGACUCCAUGAAGUUGGAAUCGCUAGUAAUCGCAGAUCAGCACGCUGCGGUGAAUACGUUCCCGGGCCUUGUACACACCGCCCGUCACACCACGAAAGUGGUCAUAACCAGAAGCAGGCGAGCCAACCGCAAGGAGGCAGCCUACCAAGGUUGUGGCCGUGAUUGGGGUGAAGUCGUAACAAGGUA